rnacentral:piRNA from 1 species
UGGCCAAUGACAGAUACUACACAGUUUGGU